AACAACACAGGUUAGAAUAUCCUUAGGCAACAGAUUGUGAGGCGGACAGAAGGAGGUGAAGGAUGAAGAGAUGAUGUGAUGUGCCUUCUACACCAUCUGUUCCUAUUUCCCCGGGCUGUGCUGUUGACAUCUGUUGGGCUGUCUCUCAGGCUGUUCUAUCUCCCACCGAUACUUGGCCACUGCAUCCUUUUCAAGCAAGGGCAAUUUAUGCUUCAAUUGAAGAUUAAAUAAGAACUAGCCAUGCUACCUGAGACAGCAGAGGAUGAUGCGUUGUUUUAUGACAGAGGGAGGGGCCGGGGAGAACUGCCAAGACAACACCACCCUGAGGACUACACAACUUCCUGUCAGGAAAGAGGAAGGAACCAGAAGGCUGCUGAGACAACACUAGAUUCCCAAUAAGAGGACUACACGACUUUCUGUCAGGAGAGAGGGAAGAGCCAGGGAGCUGCUGAGACAAUAUGAGACUGACAAGAAGAGGACUACACAACUUCCUGUCAUGGUGAAUCACACAUAAAGACGCUGAAGCCGGUACAAUUAGUGAUAACACAAUAUUAGUAAGUUAUUUAUCUUGGGGGCAGAUAGUUUUAUUUAAAAACAGUUUUCUGAUACCAGAAUACCCCUU